rfam:Xenopus tropicalis strain Nigerian Chr10_contig_385, whole genome shotgun sequence.
GUAGUCGUGGCCGAGUGGUUAAGGCGAUGGACUUGAAAUCCAUUGGGGUUUGCCCGCGCAGGUUCGAAUCCUGCCGACUACG